rnacentral:lncRNA from 1 species
UGUUUCUACAUCAUUUCCUAGUUACCACUCCUGUGUGUUGAGGCAGCCUCGGUAUUUGCACAGCUGGGAGAGACCUACUGGGACGUUUGAUGCAAAGCCAGAUGAGAUUAAGGAACAGACACAUACUGAGAAAGGACCACAUGGACACACAGGGAGAAGACGGCCAUCUGCAAGCCAAACAGAGAGCCCUCAGAAGAAACCAAACCUGCUGACACCUUGCUCUCCGACUUCUGGCCCACAGAACUGUGAGAAAACAAAUUUCUGGUGUUUAAGCCAUCCAGUCUCGGCACUUUGUCAUGGCAGCCUGAGCAGACUCAUAAAAGGAUUUUGAGAUUGGGGGUUAUCCUGGGCCAUCCAGGAGGGCCCAAUGUAAGGUCUCAAUAUAAGUGCCCAAUAUACAGCAUCACAUAGGGGUCCUUAUAAAUGAAAGACAGAGGCAGGAGGGCCGGAGAAAAGCUGUGAUGACAUAAGAACACCAGCCGUCUUCUGUGGACAUUGGCUACGAAGAUGGAAGGGGUCUCAAACCAGGGACUGCAGGCGGCCUCCAGAAGCUGAAAAAAGCAAGGAACAGAUUCUCCCCUAGAGACUCCAGAAGGACACAACCCUGCCUGUACCUGGGCUUUAGCCCUGUGAGAUCCAUGUUGGACUACUCACCUCCAGAACUGUGAGAAAUAAAUUUUUGUUGGUUUAAGCUACUAAAG